CUUCUAAGCUGCUUGCAUGUAUUGGCCACAUCAAGGACCUAACAACAAGGCUAGUGGUGUCAGAAGAGAUUUGAUGAUGAGCAGGGUGCUUUUGGAUUCAAUUCUGAUGAUGGAUUUGGUGCUGUUAGAUUUAUGUUGCUAUGGACUGGAUUUGAUUGUGGAGGUUGCAGGUUGGAAGGAUCGGAUGGUGGUCUCUGGAGCAUUAGAAGUAAUUGAUGAUUGGCAUGAAGCCGUCGGAUGAGAACUAGUAAACCAGAGUUUGCUAUUGAAAGGAGGUUGUGGCUGGCAGCUUUUAUAGAGUUG
rnacentral:lncRNA from 1 species